GCUUUUGGGCCGUUUCUAGGCCCCGGAUCCGUGAGUCGCUUCGGGAAGAAUCGUUCCUCGCGUCGCCCUCGUCGGAUUGAUCCGAUUUGCGCGCGAUUUGGACCCCGAUGAGGAGCUGAUGAGGAGGAGUCUGAGAAUGAGAACUUGGAGGUGAAACUUGAGGAGAAUGAUUUUUGGAAGAAGAAGAUAAUCCUGAGAGGGGCCUUGAGUACGGCCCAGUUCGUCUAAGUUUCUGUCUUCCUUUGAGAUCUCCAUUUUGAUGUGAUUAGUUUUGAAGUGGUUUGUGUUUUGUAUAAAAGUUUGGUUAUAAAUUUCAAUAUGAAAAAUAUGGCCCUGCUUUUCUAUCCCAUC